GCAUAAUUAUUCACCCCCCCCCUUUCAAUAUUGUGGAGAUUCAUGACAUAUAAUCCAAAUUAAGUCCAUUCAGUUCCAGGAUGUAACACUAUGAAAUACGGGAAAGCUCAAGUGGGGGGUGAAUAUUUAUGCAAGGCACUGUACAUAGUCACUAGGGUUUUUUUUUUUUUUCUCCAUUGCUACAUUGUGGCUUCCCCUGUCACAUGCCCGCAUCCUGUUUAUUUAUGGUUGAGAAACAUUGUUCUGUAACAGCUCUGUUUUUUCUCUUACACUCAGGAGCUUUCGUCGUCAGUCUGAUGUAAUCUGCUCAGGCCGGGCCGAGUAAAGUCCUCUGUUGAUCUGCGAGCAGAGCUGUGCCCCAUGCUGAGUCUGAUCUAGAACACUGUCUGUACAAAAGUAGCCACUGAGGACACGAGCACUUCUGUACACAAUGUUCCAGGCGUAUACAUCCUUCAGCAAUACUACACUGAGGACAGUAGCACAGCCAGCUGCAGUCAGGAAAACAGUUUUGACGCGUCUCAGCUGUAUUGCCGUUCGUUCCAUGUAGUUUCAUUGUGCAACUGAGGAGAGAGAAUUAUUUGGCUGUAAUACAUCAGGACUCGGAGUAUCUGAGUUCAGUCAUCUGUCAUGCACUAGCCUAGUAAUAUGUUCGUAAUCAUACUAAUCAUUCAGAAUAUACAAAGCUUCGUAUAUACACCUAAAUUUAAUAGAGUCAAGCAAAGGAAAUUGUGUCUGAUUGAACAAAGUAAAGAAUCUGUUUCAUAAUUAGUGAGAUAGAAGAAAUCGCCUGUAAACUUUGACGGUUUUAAUCUUUGUGUACUGUUUCUGCAUUUGCGUAUCUGUCAUGACUUAUAUAUAUAUACAUUUUAAGAGAUUUGAGCAUCAUUACUGUCACUAUCCAAGUAACAUAUUGCAGUAAAAUGAUGCAGGACACGAUUGCUUCAUUAGGAGAAUGUUUUUGCCGAAACUACUGUCAGAGCCGCAGUUAGAGAAUAUUAACCCGCCUCUUCUGAUUCGAGAAUUCAUCUGCACUGUGGUAUAAGGUCAGUUACGUGUCAUGCUUCUCGCUGUUACAGUAACAUUGUCACGAAGUUCAAUUCCUUUACAGACACAUACAUUUUGACGUGCAUGUGAACAGAUGUGUGAUUUCUGUAAUUGGAAUGAAUUGACAAAUCUUAGUGUGUAAACGUGAGUAUUAUUAGAGUGUUGUACUCAUUUGAAGUGGUGCAUUUCAGCACUCAGUAAUGCAAUAAUCCUGAAAAAAAACUGGAGGCCUUGGAGCAGCAGAGAGAAGAGUGAGGGGAAAAACUGGCAUAUAUAUAUUUAUGCCAUAUAUAAUAUUUGCAAAAUCCAUGCCUUUUAUACCUGUUUUUUGUGUUUUAAUGCUAACAUUUGUAGAAAGUUCAGACCAGACCAAAAGUUUUCAUUAGAUUAGACACUUAAACAUUACGCUUGAUACGUUAGACUGCAUACAAUGUAUAAUAGAACUGAUCAGUGGUUCUUUCUCUCUCUGUCUUCCUCUUGACAUAAAUAUGUAGUUAAUUAUAUCAUAAUGUCUUUUCAGUUUAUGGAACUAAGUUUAAUAUUAAUCCUACUAGUCUGUGGGACCGUGGGUGGAGGAGAGUGUGUGUAGCUUGCUUGAAAGACUUCUUUCACAGUUCACAGCUUGUACAUCUGUAAGUCCAGAUGUGCACAAGCUUUAGCUGAUUUGUAAUUUCUCAAACAGUUUCAACUCAACCAUAAAGUUUAAAAAAAAAAAAAAAAACAAGAAA